GGCAGCAUAACGAUAAUAAUAAUAAUAAGUUUAGUACAAAAUCAUAUUAUAUGUGCAUUAUAUUAAGAGCAAUAUUUAGCGCAUCCAAAGCCACCGUCAAGCCUUAUCUCCGACUUGCAAGUGAACCCCACGUUCGAGCUAUCGGGCUCUGCAGCCAUCAAACCCCACCUUUGUGCCCGAUUCAUUCCAUGCCCCCAAUGGUGCAACCAUCUAUCUCUAUUUUUUCUCUUUCGUCCCCGGCGUGUAUAUCCGCCCUCAACGCCAGGCCCUCUUUUCGGCAACGGUAUGUGGUUUGUGUGAGUUGGGUUCACGUUUGUUCCGCAUGCCGCACUGUGAAUGCUCUUAACUGAGAUAUUAUUAUAAAUAUAAUAAAAGCAUUAAAAUUUAUAAAUUGUAUUGAUAUGCACGAACACUAGCUAUAAAAAUCCUUAACAAACUACUCUUUAACCUUUUUGGAAUUAAAGC
rnacentral:lncRNA from 1 species